UGCCAUUGGGUUCUUCGUUUCGCUGACCAAAAAUGAAGCCGUGGACCUUCCCGCUGAGCCUUCCUGAGGAGGUAAAGGAGUGUCCCUGGUGCUUGGGCAAAUGGAACCGGUUCAGCCCAUGCUGUCACCACGUGCAGGGCCCUCUCUCAGUGUGACUGGUGUGACAGGAGGAAGAAGGGCAGUGAGCCGUGGCCCAGCUAUUGCAGGGACAGCCAGAGCAGCUUCCUGCAGUGCAAGCCCUGCCUGACGCCCUUCUGCCUUUCUCAUCGGGUCUCAGCUCGUCCUGGCCACACCCGUCCAGGCCUUUUCUGCAGGAAAGGAACUUUUGCUCAACCAUCCAUUUUGAAAGUGGAGACUCUAUCUCCAUUCUAACGCUCCUUUUCUUUUAGACUUUUAAACACAUUUU
rnacentral:lncRNA from 1 species